ensembl:Mt_tRNA
AGAAGUUUAGGAUAACUAGUCCAAGAGCCUUCAAAGCCCUAAGUAAACAUUCAAAGUUUAACUUCUG